CAGCGCGGUAAUUCCAGCUCCAAUAGCGUAUAUUAAAGUUGUUGCAGUUAAAAAGCUCGUAGUUGAAUUUCGAGAUCAAAUUGUUGGUCGUGCCUUGGUACGCACUGGCAUUAUUGGUUUCUCCCUUCUGACGAACCAUGAUGUCAUUAAUUUGGUGUCUUGGGGAAUCAGGACUGUUACUUUGAAAAAAUUAGAGUGUUUAAAGCAGGCUCACGCUUGAAUACAUUAGCAUGGAAUAAUGAAAUAGGACGUUUGAUUCUAUUUUGUUGGUUUCUAGGAUCGACGUAAUGAUUAAUAGGGAUAGUUGGGGGCAUUAGUAUUCAAUUGUCAGAGGUGAAAUUCUUGGAUUUAUUGAAGACUAACUACUGCGAAAGCAUUUGCCAAGGAUGUUUUCAUUAAUCAAGAACGAAAGUUAGGGGAUCGAAGACGAUCAGAUACCGUCGUAGUCUUAACCAUAAACUAUGCCGACUAGGGAUCGGAUGAUGUUAAUUUUUUAAUGACUCAUUCGGCGCCUUACG
rnacentral:rRNA from 1 species